CUAUGCAAGUCGAGUCUGGGUAGCUUUCACUCUACUUGAUACGCCUGACAUACAGGGUGAUGUAGCGAAUCCAGUGAAUGAACCAGGUCUUUCAGAAGCCUUCACAAAUAUUGAAACCGCGAUAAAUAUUGGUUAUUUGAAAUUCACUAUGACGUCUGAAGAGGGUGGUAUUGAUAUUUUUGCGCUGCCAAAGACCCUGUCAGAAGAAAUAAUUGACCCAAACAUUCCAAUGACCGAUUUAACAUAUUCACCCGGAGUGAUGGCUGGUGCUGCUUGUGGAUCAGCAUUAAUUGGUUUUACCUUGAGCUUUUCAAUUAAAAUAUAUAUUGAUGCUAGAUCAAAAAAUGGCAGCUGAAGCUGAAUUGCAUAAUAUUUACAUAGAAAUACGUUCAUUAAAAUACAGUACAGUAUAUUUA